rnacentral:rRNA from 1 species
GAACGCUGGCGGCAUGGCUAAGACAUGCAAGUCGAACGGACCAUAUAAUUGGGUAACCGAAAGUAUGGUUAGUGGCGAAAGGGUGAGGAAUAGAUAGGAACGUACCCUGUGCUCUGGGAUAGCGUCUGAAGCUUCGGCUUCUUCCGAAAGGGGCGGUAAUACCAGAUAAUGUCCUUCGGGACCAAAGAUUUACCGGCAUUGGAGCGGCCUAUCUCCUAUCAGCUUGUUGGUGAGGUAACGGCUCACCAAGGCAACGACGGGUAGCGGGACUGAGAGGUUGGCCCGCCACAUCGGGACUGAGACACUGCCCGGACCUCCACGGAGGGCUGCAGUAACGGAUAUUGGGCAAUGGGCGAAAGCCUGACCCAGCAAUGCCGCGUGCAGGAUGAAGCCCCUAGGGGUGUAAACUGCUGUCAGGGGCCAGAAAGCUGGUUUCGGCCAGUUGAUCAACCCCAGAGGAAGUCACGGCUAACUUCGUGCCAGCAGCCGCGGUAAUACGAAGGUGGCAAGCGUUAUUCGGAAUCAUUGGGCUUAAAGGGCACGCAGGCGGAACAGUGUGUGUUGUGUGAAAAUCCCCCGGCUUAACCGGGGGAAUUGCACAGCAAACUGCUGUUCUUGAGGCAGUUAGGGGUGCAUGGAACUCUUGGUGGAGCGGUGGAAUGCGUAGAUAUCAAGAGGAACGCCAGAGGUGAAGACGGUGCACUGGGCCUGUCCUGACGCUGAGGUGCGAAAGCGUGGGGAGCGAACGGGAUUAGAUACCCCGGUAGUCCACGCCGUAAACGAUGUCUACUAGGUCGUGGGUGUUCUGACACAUUCACGGCCGGAGCAAAAGUGUUUAGUAGACCGCCUGGGGAGUACGGCCGCAAGGUUAAAACUCAAAUGAAUUGACGGGGGCUCACACAAGCGGUGGAGCAUGUGGAUUAAUUCGAAGCAACGCGCAGAACCUUACCUGGGUUUGACAUGCUUGUAUGCCUUCUCUGAAAGGAGUUAGGCUGCCUUCGGGUGAAACUUGCACAGGUGCUGCAUGGCUGUCGUCAGCUCGUGUCGUGAGAUGUCGGGUUAAGUCCUUUAACGAGCGAAACCCUUGCCGUUAGUUGCCAGCGAGUAAUGUCGGGGACUCUAACGGGACUGCCGGUGUUAAACCGGAGGAAGGUGGGGAUGACGUCAAGUCCUCAUGGCCUUUAUGCCCAGGGCUUCACACGUGCUACAAUGGCAAUUACAGAGCGACGCGAUACCGCGAGGUGGAGCAAAUCGCAAAAAAAUUGCCUCAGUUCGGAUUGCAGGCUGGCAAUUCGCCUGCAUGAAGUCGGAAUCGCUAGUAAUCGCGUAUCAGCAAUGACGCGGUGAAUGUGUUCCUGAGCAUUGUACACACCGCCCGUCAAGUGAUGGAAGCCGGGAGUACCCGAAGUCGGUUGCUAUCCUUUGGGAGGCGCCUGCCGACGGUAAGUUCGGUGACUGG